GACGAACGCUGGCGGCGUGCUUAACACAUGCAAGUCGAACGGAAAGGCCCUUCGGGGUACUCGAGUGGCGAACGGGCGAGUAACACGGGGGUGAUUUGCUCUGCACUCUGGGAUAAGCCUGGGAAACUGGGUCUAAUACCGAAUAGGACCACGCGCUUCAUGGUGUGUGGGGUCAAGCUUUUGCGGGGUGGGCUGGGCCCGCGGUCUAUCAGCUUGUUGGUGGGGUAAUGGCUUACAACGGCGACGACGGGUAGCCGGCCUGUGAGGGUGACCGGCCACACUGGGACUGAGGUACGGCCCAGACGCCUACGGGAGGCAGAAGUGGGGAAUAUUGCACAAUGGGCGCAAGCCUGAUGCAGCGACGCCGCGUGAGGGAUGACGGCCUUCGGGUUGUAAACCUCUUUCAAUAGGGACGAAGCGCAAGUGACGGUACCUAUAGAAGAAGCACCGGCCAACUACGUG
rnacentral:rRNA from 1 species